rnacentral:rRNA from 1 species
AACGAACGCUGGCGGCAGGCUUAACACAUGCAAGUCGAGCGCCCCGCAAGGGGAGCGGCAGACGGGUGAGUAACGCGUGGGAAUCUACCCAUCUCUACGGAAUAACGCAUGGAAACGUGUGCUAAUACCGUAUACGUCCUUCGGGAGAAAGAUUUAUCGGAGAUGGAUGAGCCCGCGUUGGAUUAGCUAGUUGGUGGGGUAAAGGCCUACCAAGGCGACGAUCCAUAGCAGGUCUGAGAGGAUGAUCAGCCACACUGGGACUGAGACACGGCCCAGACUCCUACGGGAGGCAGCAGUGGGGAAUAUUGGAUAAUGGGCGCAAGCCUGAUCCAGCCAUGCCGCGUGAGUGAUGAAGGCCCUAGGGUUGUAAAGCUCUUUCACCGGUGAAGAUAAUGACGGUAACCGGAGAAGAAGCCCCGGCUAACUUCGUGCCAGCAGCCGCAGUAAGAC